rnacentral:lncRNA from 1 species
CCGCUCCGAGGGGCCCACCCGCGAGCAGCGGGGAAGGCGGGGACCCGGGCCCCGCGGGCCUGCAGCGCCCCCGCACCCGGUUCCACGCGCCCAGGGCCGCCCCCGCGGAGAGAGGGGGCGCGAGGGGCGCGCCUCUCGCUCGGACACCCUCUCCCAGCUCGCGCCCCAGGUGAGAAAAUGAAGGCACAGAGAGAUUGAGUAACUUGCACAAGGUCACAUGUAGGAGAACUGAGCAUCCACCCUACUCAGCCUGGCCCCAAGGUCCAAGGUAACUUAAACCCAAUUAUAAAUGGCUUUGGCUAUAAAGUGUUCUUGAAUGAAAACGUUUAGGAAGUAGGCCUGGAUUCAGAUGCUUCAGAGGCUCAAAGGUUUUCUAAUUGUUUAUGGAGAAGAUUGAUCUUCACAAGCUAGUUUUUUCAUAGGCAAAAGCAAAAGUCUCUUCCUGUGUUAUUAAGUGAAAAUGGCUGAUUAUAAAAAGGGGCUUACAAACAAUAUUUAACAAAUCUUCAUCAAGUCCCUACUCUGUGGCAGGCCCUGGGUCAGGAGGUUGCCGAUUCCAGGAAGAAUCAGACCUUAUCCCUGCCCUUGAGUCUCAAGAAGAGGAAAGGAAAACAAAUAAGCAUAGUACAGUGUGAAAAGUGGGACUGUGGUCAAAUUUCAGUCUGCAAACUCAGAUCAUGAAAGAUAGUGUGGCUUCCACUUUGGUCUCUUAUAUCACCUACUGGGGGAAGCCAGCUGCCAUGUUGUGAGGACACUCAAGAAGCUCUGUGGAGAGGCUCUUUUGAAGGAGAACCAAUGCCUCCCACCAACAGCCAGCAUCAACUUGGGACAUGUGAGUGAACCAAUUGGAAGUGGAUCCUCCAGCCAAGUCAAGCCUUCAGAUGACUGAAGCCCCAGCCUCAUGAGAGAUAGCAGGCUAAAACUGCCCAGCUAAGCUGCUCCUGAAAUCCUGACCCCCCAAAUUAUAAAAGACAAUAAAUUAUUAUUGUUGUUUUAAGCCACUACAUGUUGGGGUGAUUCAUUAUGCAGCAACAGAUAAUAAAUACAUCACCCUUGUAUUCAUUACUGACGUUUAUUGGGAGCAUAGUGUGUGAUUUUUCAUUUAACCCUUCCAGUAAUGCUGUGAGAUAGGUAAGUUUAUUAUCCCCAUUUUACAGACAAAGAAACUGAGGUUCAGAAUGAGUGAAGUCUCUUCCCUGCAGAGUCCCUGACCUUAAGGAUUUUAUGGUCAGAUCUGAGAGACAGAAGCUCAAAAACCUAUGACUCUAGGCAAAAUAUGGCCCUGGGAUCCCAGGAUGGGGAGAGGAAUUUUGGAUUCUGGCUUCUACUUGGGCCUCAUAGCUUGGGAUGACAGAGGGUACACUCCAAAGGCAACAAACACCUUCCCUGCCCUUGAGCACCUGCUUAAUCAAGGGGAGAAAGUUCAGAUGCUUAUGCAUAAUGUGUGGUAUUUCUCUGCACAGAAACACACACGGGCCUGUACAGUAAUAAUGAAAAGCAACAACCCAUCUUAAGGGCUUGGCACUUUGCACUUACAAAGCCUUAUACAUCCCUAAUUCCAUGGAAUCACACCUGGCAGGUAAGCGUGGCCCUGUACACUUUACAGAUGGGGACACUGAGGUCAGGGAAGUUGUGUGAUUCUUGCAGAGCCAAGCAGCCUAGAAGUGGCAGAGUUCAGGUAAAACCCAGUAACUGGGUGUUUUACAAGUGCUAAGGGUAUGACAGGAGGUAGGCAGGGCUCCUCUGAGGGAGGUUUCAGGAAGAGGUCACCCGCGAGCAGGGUUCUGAGAAUGGGGAAGUGGCUUCGGGGAGAGGAUGGUGCCUGGGAGGGUUUGAGAGGAAACAGAGUGAGUCCCUAGGGGCUCCCAGGGUGUACGAGGGCAAAGAGGUGAACAUAGCUGGAGUGGAAAGAAUGAGAAAGCCUGGGUGUGUGGAAGAGCCUUGGUGUGUUAGGUGGAAUUGCAGCUGGAGGGUGUGUGCAGAAUGAGAGGUCUUGGUAUUGGGGCCAAAGUCAACUGCCACGCCUAAGGAGGGAGGAAGGCGCUUAUUUUGCUUCUUGGGUGAAAAUCAUUCCUGUGAUUUAGUUCUCCUUGGGGGAGGGGCGGGGUUUCAUCCAGCCUUAGCAAAUGCAUUCAAUCUUCACUACUUCUCUCUGUCAGAUGGGGUGGAUAGAGGUCCAAAUGUGGGCAGAAGCUUUUAUGUCCCAUCGCAGGGCAGCUAAGAACAGCUGCGCGGGUCGUUCACUGUACAUGGGCACUAGGCCAAAAGGGACUGAAAUCCGGACGGCCCUUUGUUUACUAAGCCAUGUGCCUGCAAGGCUGCACCUGCCCAGAAGGAAUGCUUCCUAUUUCUUUUCUUUAAAAAAAAAUUUUUUUUAUGAGCUAAAAUUCACAUAACAUAGAAUCUACCAUUUAAACCACUUUAAAGUAUAAAGUUCAGUGCUUUUAGUAUAGUCACAAUGUUGUGCAACCAUCACCACUAGCAGUUUUCGGAACAUUUCCAUCAUCCCAAAAAACAACUCCAUAACUCCUAAUUCCCCCCCUUUCCCCAUCUCUUGGCGACCAUGAAUCUGAACUUUCAUAUGAAUGGAGUUCUAUAAUUUGCUGUCUUCUGUGACUGUCUUCUUUCAUUUGGCAUUAAAACUUUUCAAGUUUUACCCAUGUUGUGGUAUGUGUCUGUACUUCAUUCCUUUUUAUGGCUCGAUAAUAUCGCAUUGUGUGAAUAUUCCACAAUUUGUGUAUCCCUUCAUGAGUUGAUGGACAUAUGGGUUAUAUCCACUGGCUGUUAAGAACAGGCGGGUCACGGUGGCUCACGCCUGAAAUCCCAGCACUUUGGGAGGCUGAGGUGGGCGGAUCACCUGAGGUCAGGAGUUCUAGAUCAGCUUUGCCAACACGGUGAAACCUUGUCUCUACCAAAUAUAUAAAAAUU